rnacentral:ncRNA from 11 species
GAGCUCUUUCUUGAUUUUGUGGGUGUUUGCCAAUGCAGCAUUGCCCAGUAUAGCCUUUAGCUAGUCCGCUCCGGCGGGCCACAUCCUCCCUGUGCUGAAAGCCUUCCCCUUACAGGGGCGGUAUCAGCAGCCAAAGAAUGCCAGCGCGGCUUCUUCGGUUCACAGACUAGGCGAGUGAUGGGCUGAGCCCUUAGGGGUCUCAGUUCGAGAUAUAGUCGAGCCCCAGGGUCUAAGACCUGGGUGUUUGCGGGUGGUGCAUGGCCGUUCUUAGUUGGUGGAGUGA